rnacentral:lncRNA from 1 species
GGCCAUUCGCGACCCAAAGCUGCGCGGGCGCGGGCGAGUUGGGGUACUGGGUGGGCGGCGGCGACAGCGGCGCCACGCGCAGGCUGGAGGCCGCCGAGGCUCGCCAUGCCGGGAGAACUCUAACUCCCCCAUGGAGUCGGCCGACUUCUACGAGGCGGAGCCGCGGCCCCCGAUGAGCAGCCACCUCCAGAGCCCCCCGCACGCGCCCAGCAACGCCGCCUUUGGCUUUCCCCGGGGCGCGGGCCCCGCGCCGCCCCCAGCCCCACCUGCCGCCCCGGAGCCGCUGGGCGGCAUCUGCGAGCACGAGACGUCUAUAGACAUCAGCGCCUACAUCGACCCGGCCGCCUUCAACGACGAGUUCCUGGCCGACCUCUUCCAGCACAGCCGGCAGCAGGAGAAGGCCAAGGCGGCGGCGGGCCCCGCGGGUGGCGGCGGUGACUUUGACUACCCGGGCGCCCCGGCGGGCCCCGGCGGUGCGGUCAUGUCCGCGGGGGCGCACGGACCCCCUCCCGGCUACGGCUGUGCGGCGGCCGGCUACCUGGACGGCAGGCUGGAGCCCCUGUACGAGCGCGUCGGGGCGCCCGCGCUGCGGCCGCUGGUGAUCAAGCAGGAGCCCCGCGAGGAGGACGAGGCGAAGCAGCUGGCGCUGGCCGGCCUCUUCCCCUAUCAGCCCCCGCCGCCGCCGCCGCCACCGCACCCGCACGCGUCUCCCGCGCACUUGGCCGCCCCUCACUUGCAGUUCCAGAUCGCACACUGCGGCCAGACCACCAUGCACCUGCAGCCUGGCCACCCUACGCCGCCGCCGACGCCCGUGCCCAGCCCUCAUCCCGCGCCUGCAAUGGGUGCUGCGGGCCUGCCGGGCCCCGGGGGCUCGCUCAAGGGCUUGGCUGGUCCGCACCCCGACCUCCGCACCGGCGGCGGCGGCGGCGGCGGGGCCGGCGCGGGCAAGGCCAAGAAGUCGGUGGAUAAGAACAGCAACGAGUACCGGGUACGGCGGGAACGCAACAACAUCGCGGUGCGCAAGAGCCGAGAUAAAGCCAAACAGCGCAACGUGGAGACGCAGCAGAAGGUGUUGGAGUUGACCAGUGACAAUGACCGCCUGCGCAAGCGGGUGGAACAGCUGAGCCGUGAACUGGACACGCUGCGGGGUAUCUUCCGCCAGCUGCCUGAGAGCUCCUUGGUCAAGGCCAUGGGCAACUGCGCGUGAGGCGCGCGGCUGCGGGACCGCCUUGAGCCGGCCCCCUGGCUGGGGACCCGGAGGAUGGUUUAGGGUCGCUGGAUCUCUAGGCUGCCCGGACCGUGCAAGCCAGGACUAGGAGAUUCUGGUGUCGCCUGAAAGCCUGGCCUGCUCCGCGUGUCCCCUCCCUUCCUCUGAGCCGGACUCGGUGCGUCUAAGAUGAGAGGGAGUCAGGCCGUGGUGGUUUCUCCUUUAGACCGAGAGACUUCUCCGCGGAGCUGAGCUGGGAGCCCGGCAGUUUUAGUAUUAAGGAAGUAACCUUGUGCCUUGGAUACUCAAAACUCGCUCCUUUUCCUACCGAGUAGGGGGAGCAAACAUGUGCCUUGAUAUUUUAUUUGGAGGAUUCCUGCUUCCUCCAGAGCUGCAGCAGGCCCCCAUGAGAAAAAUGAAGGGUGCAGGCCCAGGGCAGGAGGAAGAUUCAGGAAGCUGAGGUCCCAGCA